CCUACGGGAGGCAGCAGUGAGGAAUAUUGGUCAAUGGACGAGAGUCUGAACCAGCCAAGUAGCGUGAAGGAUGACUGCCCUAUGGGUUGUAAACUUCUUUUAUAUGGGAAUAAAACGUUCCACGUGUGGGAUUUUGUAUGUACCAUAUGAAUAAGGAUCGGCUAACUCCGUGCCAGCAGCCGCGGUAAUACGGAGGAUCCGAGCGUUAUCCGGAUUUAUUGGGUUUAAAGGGAGCGUAGGUGGAUUGUUAAGUCAGUUGUGAAAGUUUGCGGCUCAACCGUAAAAUUGCAGUUGAAACUGGCAGUCUUGAGUACAGUAGAGGUGGGCGGAAUUCGUGGUGUAGCGGUGAAAUGCGUAGAUAUCACGAAGAACUCCGAUUGCGAAGGCAGUUCACUGGACUGCAACUGACACUGAGGCUCGAAAGUGUGGGUAUCAAACAGGAUUAGAUACCCUUGUAGUC
rnacentral:rRNA from 1 species